AUCACCCAGUGAUCUUGUUAAAAUGCAAAUUCUUAUUCAAGAGUUCUGGGAAAGCCUGAGAUUCUGCAUUUCUAGCAAGCUCCCAGGGAAUGCCAA
rnacentral:pre_miRNA from 1 species